rnacentral:rRNA from 1 species
AGCGAACGCUGGCGGCGUGCCUAACACAUGCCAGUCGAACGUGAAAAGGGAAACCUGAGUACAGUGGCGUACGGGUGAGUAACGCGUAGGUAAUCUACCCCAGAAUCUGGAAUAACCUGCCGAAAGGCGGGCUAAUACUGGAUAGGGCGAGGGAACUCGUAAGAGAGUUUUUCGGGAAAGGGAGCCCGCAAGGGCCUUCGUUCUGGGAUGAGCCUGCGUCUCAUUAGCUAGUUGGUAAGGUAACGGCUUACCAAGGCGAUGAUGAGUAGCUGGUCUGAGAGGAUGAUCAGCCACACUGGAACUGAAACACGGUCCAGACUCCUACGGGAGGCAGCAGUGGGGAAUCUUGCGCAAUGGACGAAAGUCUGACGCAGCCACGCCGCGUGAGUGAAGAAGGCCUUCGGGUUGUAAAGCUCUGUCGGAUGGGACGAACAUCUUCAUAGUGAAUAGCUAUGAGGACUGACGGUACCAUCAAAGGAAGCACCGGCUAACUCCGUG